rnacentral:rRNA from 1 species
AACGAACGCUGGCGGCAUGCCUAACACAUGCAAGUCGAACGAGAUCUUCGGGUCUAGUGGCGCACGGGUGCGUAACGCGUGGGAAUCUGCCCUUUGGUUCGGAAUAACAGUUGGAAACGACUGCUAAUACCGGAUGAUGACGAAAGUCCAAAGAUUUAUCGCCAGAGGAUGAGCCCGCGUAGGAUUAGCUAGUUGGUGUGGUAAAGGCGCACCAAGGCGACGAUCCUUAGCUGGUCUGAGAGGAUGAUCAGCCACACUGGGACUGAGACACGGCCCAGACUCCUACGGGAGGCAGCAGUGGGGAAUAUUGGACAAUGGGCGAAAGCCUGAUCCAGCAAUGCCGCGUGAAUGAUGAAGGCCUUAGGGUUGUAAAGCUCUUUUACCCGGGAUGGUAAUGACAGUACCGGGAGAAUAAGCUCCGGCUAACUCCGUGCCAGCAGCCGCCGUAACAC